CAUAUGCUUGUCUCAAAGAUUAAGCCAUGCAUGUCUAAGAAUAAGUCCUUUUGAAUGACGAAUCUGCGAAUGGCUCAUUAAAUCAGUUAUUGUUUAUUUGAUGUGUGUAAAAAUGUAAAUUUUUACACUUUUACUGCUGGAUAACCGUAGUAAUUCUAGAGCUAAUACAUGUUAAUUAUAAAGCCUUUAGACGGAAAGAAAUUUAUUUCUUUUUGUUUUAGAGGUGGCAUUUAUUAGAUUCAAAACCAAUCGUGAUUUUAUCACUUUUUGUGAUAAAAUUAUCUCGAAUGGUGAUUCAUAGUAACUAAGCAAAUCGAAAGAUACUUAAGUUGGGUCAAACCUUCUUAAGUUUUCGAUGCUUCAUUCAAAUUUCUGCCCUAUCAGCUUUCGAUGGUAGGAUAUUGGCCUACCAUGGCGAUAACGGGUAACGGGGAAUCAGGGUUCGAUUCCGGAGAGGGAGCUUGAGAAAUGGCUACCACAUCCAAGGAUGGCAGCAGGCGCGCAAAUUACCCAAUCCCAAUACGGGGAGGUAGUGACAAUAAAUAACAAUGUUGGAAUAUUUUAAAAAUUCUAACAAUUGGAAUGAGAGUAAUUUAGACCUCUUCUCGAGGAACCAUUGGAGGGCAAGUCUGGUGCCAGCAGCCGCGGUAAUUCCAGCUCCAAUAGCGUAUGUUAAAGUUGUUGCAGUUAAAAAGCUCGUAGUCCAAACUGCAAAGUUUUAUGGAAAUGGUAUCUCUCCCUUAUAUGUGUUUUGAUUAUUUAACUUGUUAAAUUAUUUUCUUUGAAAAUAUUUUUAUUCAAGUUCUAUAAUCCCAUAUUUGAGUCAGAUAUCCCAACUUUGCUUGUACUUUGGAGGACUUUUUACUUUUCUUUUGUAACUUCGGUUUCAAAAAAUAAGUAAAAAUGGAUUCCAAUUGUUUACUUUGAGAAAACUAGAGUGUUCAAAGCAAGCGAAAUUAAAAUUUCUCUCGCAACUGAAUACAUUAGCAUGGGAUAAUAAAAUAGGACAUUUAUGGAGAAGAAGCUCGGAAAUGUUAAACAAGUCUUAGGACUUUUUAACCUCUUUCUCUUCUUCUUCUUGGUCCUAUUAUGUUUUUGAUUGGUGGUUCAAGGACCAAUGUAAUGAUUAAUAGGAACGGUUGGGGACAUUCAUAUUGCAUGGCUAGAGGUGAAAUUCUUGGAUUCAUGCAAGAUGAACUGCUGCGAAAGCGUUUGUCAAAGACGUUUUCAUUGAUCAAGAACGAAAGUUAGGGGAGCAAAGACGAUCAGAUACCGUCGUAGUCCUAACUAUAAACGAUGCCGACUAGGGAUCGGUGGGCGUUAAUAUAAAAUUGUAUUACUUUUAUUAACAACUUCUUUAAGUUUUUUACUUAAAGAUUUGUUAAUAAAGUUUUACAAGAAAUGACCCCAUCGGCACCUCAAUUUGAUACUUCUCAAUGGGAAACCAAAGUUUUUGGGUUCCGGGGGGAGUAUGGUCGCAAGGCUGAAACUUAAAGGAAUUGACGGAAGGGCACCACCAGGAGUGGAGUUGCGGCUAAUUUGACUCACCACGGGAAGACUCACCAGGCCCAGACAUGGUAAGGAUUGACAGAUUGAGAGCUCUUUCUUGAUUCCAUGAAAGGUGGCGCAUGGCCGUUCUUAGUUGGUGGAGUGAUUUGUCUGGUUAAUUCCGUUAACGAACGAGACCUUGGCCUGCUAACUAGGGGGGGUUAUCGUUUGAAUAAGUAAGAUGGAGUUGAAUGAUAAUUGAUUAAAGUAAUUUAAUCUUUGUCUUUUAACUGUUAUCUCUUAUUCAUAUUUUGCGAUAGCACCUAAGAUUUAAAAAAUCUUUCAAUCCUUUUCUUGGGUUUUAGAGUUUUAAAGUCCUUUAUUUGAAAGAAUUUAUUCUUUCUUAUAAAUGACCUCUUUUACUUCGGGAAAGGGAGAAAUCCUUCUUAGAGGGACUAUCUGCGUUUUUAUAACUAGCAGAUGGAAGCUCGAGGCAAUAACAGGUCUGUGAUGCCCUUAGAUGUCCUGGGCUGCACGCGUACUACACUGACGAAUUCAACAAGUGAUUAAAAUUUAAUAAGGUAUUACUUGAGUUUCCUUUCGGGGAAAUUAAAAGGAUAUUUUAUUAAAAACCUUGGCAGAAAUGUCUGGGUAAUCUCUUUAAAGUUCGUCGUGCUAGGGAUAGAUGAUUGUAAUUAUUCGUCUUCAACGAGGAAAUCCUAGUAAGUGUG
rnacentral:rRNA from 1 species